rnacentral:rRNA from 1 species
GAGUUUGAUCAUGGCUCAGAUUGAACGCUGGCGGCAUGCCUUACACAUGCAAGUCGAACGGUAACGGGUUAAGCCGACGAGUGGCGAACGGGUGAGUAAUAUAUCGGAACGUGCCCAAUCGUGGGGGAUAACGCAGCGAAAGUUGUGCUAAUACCGCAUAAGAUCUACGGAUGAAAGCGGGGGAUCGCAAGACCUCGCGCGAGUGGAGCGGCCGAUAUCAGAUUAGCUAGUUGGUGAGGUAAAGGCUCACCAAGGCGACGAUCUGUAGCUGGUCUGAGAGGACGACCAGCCACACUGGGACUGAGACACGGCCCAGACUCCUACGGGAGGCAGCAGUGGGGAAUUUUGGACAAUGGGCGCAAGCCUGAUCCAGCAAUGCCGCGUGCAGGAUGAAGGCCUUCGGGUUGUAAACUGCUUUUGUACGGAGCGAAAAGGUCUGCCCUAAUACGGUGGGCUCAUGACGGUACCGUAAGAAUAAGCACCGGCUAACUACGUGCCAGCAGCCGCGGUAAUACGUAGGGUGCAAGCGUUAAUCGGAAUUACUGGGCGUAAAGCGUGCGCAGGCGGUUAUAUAAGACAGAUGUGAAAUCCCCGGGCUCAACCUGGGCACUGCAUUUGUGACUGUAUAGCUAGAGUACGGUAGAGGGGGAUGGAAUUCCGCGUGUAGCAGUGAAAUGCGUAGAUAUGCGG